AGCGGUUUGCCAGUGGUGGUGCUCCAGCGCCGUACGGACGGUGGUGGGAUCCUUCCGUCGCUGCUACAGCCGCAACCAGAGGAUCCCAGCACCGUCUGUACAGUGCUGGAGCGCCGCCACUGGCAAACCGCU